GUCCGACGCGCCCUGGCUCAGCCCCAGCAGAGGGAGACGAUGCUAGAGAUUUUCCUAAAGCAAAUCCACACCUCACUACGUAUGGCGCCCGUUGCUCAGCCUCUGCAUCCACACCCCCCACAGACGCCCCAGGAGACCCCGCACAGCUUCUUGUAAACCAAGACAAGCCAGCCCUGGGCCUGGGGCUCCUCCCUGCACCCCACUUAGCCCUGCAACCUUCCAGCCCAACUACAAUUCUCAAGAUGAGGAGUCCAUGAAAAGGAGACUGACAGAUGACACUUUCCUCUGCCAUGACUGACAGGCAGCAGCAAGAGGGAAGACCGCGGUACUGGACAUCACGUGCGGGAACUGCCUCAAAGGUGGGGGCACCUUUCGGGCUGAGCUAACCCAGUCAACAGCAGACUGGAAAAAGACAAAGAACUGUGUGAGAUGGUGCUCAAAACCAGAAAGAUGAACUCUGCAAUGACGACAAAUGGAUUCGGUGUGAUGUGGGCGUGAUACAGAGAAACAUUCUUGAAGGUUCUGGAGCAGUUCAUUUUUCUCAGAGCUGGUAAACUCAUUGUUCGAAUCUUACAAGCACUAGUGUUCAACAUUUCUAAAACUGGGAGGGCCCAGUGAGGACUGGAUGGGCACACAAAUCUAUAAACGAGCACAGACGAACCCUGGGCUGCUGUGACCGCCAGCACCUCUUCCCGUUCUUCCAUGACCCUCCAUGGCAGAGAAUUCUUGGUGACGGGUCAGCCUGCUUCACUUUCAAAGCCAGCUGGGAAAAUUACCAAAGCUGUCAGUCACACACCGUGAUCCACAAGAGGGAGAAAACCUUGUUUGUGUGAGGAACGCCUACAGAUGUGUCUCCAGGAAGCAGAAGUCACAGCCAGGCGGAGACCUUGCCUGACACGGGCAGCUCAAGGCAACAGCAGCUCCACCGCUUCUCCCUGGUUCCCAAGCUCAUCAAUUCCACCUCAAAUACACAGAGACCCAAGGACAGGAGGCGCUGCUGCACCCAGCACUCUUCAUCUCCGAAGUGAGCCUGCGGGGUGACCAACUGCCUUGCAUGGACGGACAGCUGGCGGAAGAGCCUGCAACGUGACCUGCAUUUACAAACAUGAGGAAACCCACUCACCUUCAGUUGUUACUCCUUUCAUGAAUUCUUUUGGUUAUAGCUGUGCCUAUGGCUUUACGGGCUUCACCUGAUAAAUGGUCUUCUGUACUAUGGACAAUUUGGACCCGUAAACCUGGCCUUGAACUAGGUGACACUGAAAUGUUACAGACAAAUCAGAACGUCACAUUCCCUUUAAAUAUUCCCCGCACACAUGCACCAGGCUGACUGGUGGAUACUGGGGUGUGAAAUGAGAGAAACAGCCCCCACUGUGCAGAUGUGGGGACAUGAUUAUUAUCAAUUAACCACAGGCUGCACCUCAGCUCCUGCACACCAGGUGCCUUGUGCCGGUGGCUCUGUAGCAUGGGCCUGUUUAUCUUCAAAGCCAUUUUGUGGCUUCUGGAAAAGGCAAACAAGCUCAGGACAUUGUAUCUCCAAAGAGCACAUCUCUUAAAAGAUUCUUGCCAUAGCUAGUUACACCAAAGGCCCAUUCAAACCCCAUGUUCUACUUUAACAGAAGUGAAAAACCACAAGCAAAGAUGGCAUUCCAAAAUAAGGCAGAAUAUCUAAGACAGGAAGGCCAUGUGUGCAAGGAUGGUGUGAGCCUCCAGACUGUAGUGUGGGAGCUCACACUGAAGCAUUCCUGGUGAUGCCCACCUCCACUAAGAACUACCGUGCUGCCUUCUGACCCGUGAGGCUAAUGGACUGGCACAGGUGUGUGAACAUCAAGAACACUGUGACAUGCCACUGCCACAUAGGGAGGAGCAGCAGGUGAGGAGAGGCCUUCCCUGUUCUCUGAUACCCAACAAACAUGCAAGCUCUCAACGCCUCGCUCCAUGAUGCCCGCUGCUCAGCUUCUCUGCAUGGGCAGUUUCUGAAUUUCACCUCAGGCCCUUGAAGGGGUCAGUCUGAGUCCUUUCCAAGAACCCUACAACUGCCUUCCACUCAUGAAGACGCUCAUGGCCCUGAAAGCAUGGUAGCCACCCAGAAUCAGACACCUGUAGUUAUCUCCUGCCUGGGGCUCUGGCAGGUGGUGGUGGGUGUCAGGCUGACUGGUGGAUACUGGGAUGUGCUGGCGUAUUCCCUCUGUUUUUAAU
rnacentral:lncRNA from 1 species